GUACCUACGGGACGCAGCAGUGAGGAAUAUUGGUCAAUGGCCGAGAGGCUGAACCAGCCAAGUCGCGUGAGGGAAGACGGCCCUACGGGUUGUAAACCUCUUUCGUCGGGGAGCAACGCGAGUCACGUGUGACUCAUUGAGAGUACCCGAAGAAGAAGCAUCGGCUAACUCCGUGCCAGCAGCCGCGGUAAUACGGAGGAUGCGAGCGUUAUCCGGAUUUAUUGGGUUUAAAGGGUGCGCAGGCGGAGGUGCAAGUCAGCGGUCAAAUUGCGGGGCUCAACCCCGUAAUGCCGUUGAAACUGCAU
rnacentral:rRNA from 1 species